rnacentral:lncRNA from 1 species
CCGGGGUUUCCCCCUCGGGGCUGAGGCGGGCGCCAUGGUUUGCGGUCGCAGACGCGCGUGGCCUGCGCGGGCGCGGCCCCCUCGGCGGGUGUCUGCCGGCUCCGGGGUCAGCGAGGAGCCCGAGCGGCUUGUCCCUUCCAGCCCGGUUUUGUUCGUGUGUCCCCAAACUGUUCCRAAUGCGGCGUGCCUUAGUGUCGGUGACGAGGGUUGCCCCUGUCCCCUGUCCCUCGAACCCGCAAAUAAAACUCUUUUUCAGUUCAUAGCAUGGAAAAUGUGUGAUGUGAUGAAGGAUGGUCUGAAGACCCCUGGUAAAAGAUAGUGCCUGCCACACUAGUUUGUCAACUGCCUGUGUGCUCCCAAGAUAUCGCUGUGGGAGAGAGCUACUAGGACUGAUGUAUUGUCCCAAGAUCAACAGCCUGCUUCUGGCAACCUCUUUUCGGGUGAAAACCCUAGAACACGCAGGGAAUCAGUCACCUGCAUGCCUUUGUCCUGUAGCUCUUCCACGGUAAACCCAGUGCUUCCUGGAACUGCUGAGGCUCAAGUCUGGGUGAAGUAGAAGUGUUUUGCCUGUGUGCAGUAGGGCUGGCCACGUGGUGAAACAGCCCAUGGCGUGGAGGAGUUCUUUGGUCCUGAGAUUUACAUAGUAUGUGUCACUAGCUUGAUGUGCUUCUUAAUCCAGUUAUGUGUCCAAAUGAAGAAAACCUGAUGGCAGGAAAAGAAGGAAGUUAAACAGCGGAUGAUAUAUAUGUUGAAGUGUAAUGUUCUGGCUCAUAAUGAUAUCCGCAUCAGGUGGUGAAUAUCUCAGCAGAAAUGUCUUUUGUACUCUGGAUUUCUCUGGUCUCUUUCAUUAAUCUUGCUGUCACGAUCCUUGGUUUGUGAGCUUUUAACUUAAAAUCCAUGCGUUGUGGUUUCAUCUUUAUGAACAGUUCUACUUAAGUUUGAGAUUCAGGUUCAUCUUCAUUUGACGAUUGUUCUAUCAAUACAUAUUGAAAGAGUUUUAUUUUACUGUUCAAUAAGUGUUAGUAUCUUAGGGUUCUGUAAAGCUUUUACUAGUAGUGGAAAAAAAUAAAGUAACGGCACAAGAUAGUGUGUUGAUAAAA